UACGGAGGGUCCAAGCGUUAUCCGGAUUUAUUAGGUUUAAAGGGUCCGCAGGCGGAACUUUAAGUCAGUGGUGAAAGCCUACAGCUCAACUGUAGAACUGCCAUUGAAACUGAAGUUCUUGAGUGUGGUUGAAGUGGGCGGAAUAUGUCAUGUAGCGGUGAAAUGCAUAGAUAUGACAUAGAACACCAAUUGCGAAGGCAGCUCACUAAGCCAUUACUGACGCUCAGGGACGAAAGCGUGGGGAGCGAACAGG
rnacentral:rRNA from 1 species